rnacentral:rRNA from 1 species
GAGUUUGAUCGUGGCUCAGAUUGAACGCUGGCGGCAUGCCUUACACAUGCAAGUCGAACGGUAACAGGUCUUCGGAUGCUGACGAGUGGCGAACGGGUGAGUAAUACAUCGGAACGUGCCCGAUCGUGGGGGGAUAACGAAGCGAAAGCUUUGCUAAUACCGCAUAAGAUCUACGGAUGAAAGCAGGGGACCGCAAGGCCUUGCGCGAACGGAGCGGCCGAUGGCAGAUUAGGUAGUUGGUGGGAUAAAAGCUUACCAAGCCGACGAUCUGUAGCUGGUCUGAGAGGACGACCAGCCACACUGGGACUGAGACACGGCCCAGACUCCUACGGGAGGCAGCAGUGGGGAAUUUUGGACAAUGGGCGAAAGCCUGAUCCAGCCAUGCCGCGUGCAGGAUGAAGGCCUCGGUUGUAAC